rnacentral:piRNA from 1 species
UGGUUCACGAGCUCCUCCCUGCUAGA